UACAGAGGGUGCGAGCGUUUAAUCGGAAUUACUGGGCGUAAAGCGUGCGUAGACGGUUAUUUAAGUCGGGUGUGAAAGCCCCGGGCUCAACCUGGGAAUUGCAUUCGAGACUGAAUAGCUAGGGUACGGUAGAGGGAAGUGGAAUUUCCGGUGUAGCGGUGAAGUGCGUAGAUAUUCGGAGGAACACCAGUGGCGAAGGCGGGCUCACUGGCUCGGUACUGACGCUGAGG
rnacentral:rRNA from 1 species